AGACCCGAAACCCGGUGAUCUAGCCAUGGGCAGGUUGAAGGUUGGGUAACACUAACUGGAGGACCGAACCGACUAAUGUUGAAAAAUUAGCGGAUGACCUGUGGCUGGGGGUGAAAGGCCAAUCAAACCGGGAGAUAGCUGGUUCUCCCCGAAAGCUAUUUAGGUAGCGCCUCGUGAAUUCAUCUCCGGGGGUAGAGCACUGUUUCGGCUAGGGGGCCAUCCCGGCUUACCAACCCGAUGCAAACUGCGAAUACCGGAGAAUGUUAUCACGGGAGACACACGGCGGGUGCUAACGUCCGUCGUGAAGAGGGAAACAACCCAGACCGCCAGCUAAGGUCCCAAAGUCAUGGUUAAGUGGGAAACGAUGUGGGAAGGCCCAGACAGCCAGGAUGUUGGCUUAGAAGCAGCCAUCAUUUAAAGAAAGCGUAAUAGCUCACUGGUCGAGUCGGCCUGCGCGGAAGAUGUAACGGGGCUAAACCAUGCACCGAAGCUGCGGCAGCGAACGUAUCACCCAAGACAACUUUACGGAGUUGACGAUUGACGGAGCGAAGCGACGUCAAAGCGUUCAUUAAAGUCGAGUUGGCUUAGGGAUACGUUCGUUGGGUAGGGGAGCGUUCUGUAAGCCUGUGAAGGUGUGUCGUGAGGCAUGCUGGAGGUAUCAGAAGUGCGAAUGCUGACAUAAGUAACGAUAAAGCGGGUGAAAAGCCCGCUCGCCGGAAGACCAAGGGUUCCUGUCCAACGUUAAUCGGGGCAGGGUGAGUCGACCCCUAAGGCGAGGCCGAAAGGCGUAGUCGAUGGGAAACGGGUUAAUAUUCCCGUACUUGGUGUUACUGCGAAGGGGGGACGGAGAAGGCUAUGUUGGCCGGGCGACGGUUGUCCCGGUUUAAGCGUGUAGGUGUGUGUUCCAGGUAAAUCCGGUUCACUUUAACACUGAGGCGUGACGACGAGGCACUACGGUGCUGAAGCAACAAAUGCCCUGCUUCCAGGAAAAGCCUCUAAGCAUCAGGUAACACGAAAUCGUACCCCAAACCGACACAGGUGGUCAGGUAGAGAAU
rnacentral:rRNA from 3 species